rnacentral:rRNA from 1 species
GUCAGGAUGAACGCUGGCGGCGUGCUAAUACAUGCAAGUCGAGCGAAUGGGAUAGAAGCUUGGUACUCUGAGAUGCUGAGCGGCAGAGGGGUGAAUCAUACGUGUAUCACCUCCCUAUGAGUCGGAUAUAUCUCGGAGACACGGGGUAUAAUACGAUAUAGUUGAUUUCCUCACAUGAGGGAAUCGAAAAGGGGCGGAGCGAUGUCCCAUUUAUGGAUGGACGUACGGCGCUUGAUCUAGUGUGAGGUAUAGCGUCUCCACAAGGAGGCGAUGUAUAGCACCCGAGAGAGUGAUAUGGCACACACUGAGACUGACACGGGCCCCAGUCUCAUACGAGACACCGCUAUAGAAUAUUUUGCACAAGGGAAACAUGUGAGAGAGAGCAACGGCGCGAGAGAGAUAAAGGUUUUGGUAUUAAAAAUCUGUGUUUCCAGAAAAGCAAGUUAUGGAGAGUAAAGGUUCCACAGGUGACGUACCUAACCAAGAAAGCCCGGGUAAAUUAGGUCCCACCAGCCGGGUUAUUAGUUGGGGGCCAAGGUUUUUCGGAAAUUUUUGGGGUAAAAGGGGGGCCGGGGGGUCAUGUAAUUUGAGGUGAAAAACCCGGGGUUCACCUCGGGGUGUCAUCGGAAACUGGGAGACUUGAGUGCAGAAGAGGAAAGUGGAAUUCCAUGUGUAGCGGUGAAAUGCGUAGAGAUGUGGAGGAACACCAGUGGCGAAGGCGACUUUCUGGGCUGUAACUGACGCUGAGGCGCGAAAGCGUGGGGAGCAAACAGGAUUAGAUACCCUGGUAGUCCACGCCGUAAMCGAUGAAUGCUAAGUGUUAGAGGGUUUUCCRCAUACCCUUUGGUGCCUGAAGUUAACGCAUUAAGCAYUCCGCMUGGGGAGUACGGUCGCAAGACKGAAACUCAAAGGAAUUGACGGGGACCCGCACAAGCGGUGGAGUAUGUGGUUUAAUUCGAAGCAACGCGAAGAACCUUACCAGGUCUUGACAUCCCUCUAACCGUCCUAAAAAUAGGGUUCCCCUUCGGGACCAAAGUGACAGGUGGUGCAUGGUUGUCGUCAGCUCGUGUCGUGAGAUGUUGGGUUAAGUCCCGCAACGAGCGCAACCCUUGAUUUUAGUUGCCAUCAUUGAGUUGGGCACUCUAAAGUGACUGCCGGUGACAAACCGGAGGAAGGUGGGGAUGACGUCAAAUCAUCAUGCCCCUUAUGACCUGGGCUACACACGUGCUACAAUGGAUGGUACAACGAGAUGCGAAACCGCGAGGUGGAGCUAAUCUCAUAAAACCAUUCUCAGUUCGGAUUGCAGGCUGCAACUCGCCUGCAUGAAGUCGGAAUCGCUAGUAAUCGCGGAUCAGCAUGCCGCGGUGAAUACGUUCCCGGGUCUUGUACACACCGCCCGUCACACCACGAGAGUUUACAACACCCGAAGUCGGUGGGGUAACCUUUUGGAGCCAGCCGCCUAAGGUGGGGUAGAUGAUUGGGGUGAAGUCUAAAAGGGGGAAACCAGGGGGG